rnacentral:lncRNA from 1 species
GCAGCUUGGACACUCACUCUCACUGUGAUCCUCUACUUUUCAGUACGUUCCAGCCCAUGCUCCGCCCCCAGCUGCCACCCAGCCUCUUGGUCACUGAGGCCCCAGGACUGGGAGCCCUCCACAAACCAGAAAGCCCCAUUCUGCAGACUUUAUGGGCAGAGGACAUUAGCAUCCCUGGGGUCAUGUGGCUGAGGACAAUUCCUCUCCAGGGGACUCCCACUCCAAGAGACAAAUUUUGAGGGAGGUAACAAUCCCCGGAGCCAGUACAACCUCACUGAACAAACGGCUGCCUUGUCGGUUAGCCCAGGCCUGGAGUUGGCCCUGGGCAACAUUGCAUGGGGUCUCCAGUCCCUGUGUUGAAGCUUCACACCCAUCUGGCUGCUGCCACCAGCUGCCGCUCUGGGACCCACCCUCCUGCCCUGCUCUGGCCUCCAAGACAGAGCACUUGUCACCACCUGACGUAAUAUGUUUUUACUUGUUCAUCAUGUGUUUCUCAAGAAGAAUGUGAGCUCCAUGAGGGAAGAAACUUCAUUUUGUUCUCUGCUAUAUUCUUUAAAUACUGCCUGGUACAUGAGCCUGGAAUUCAUUCUUUCAACAAAUAUGUGAUCUGCACCUAUUGUGGGCUAGUCAACAGCUGUGCCUUCAUGAAGAUUACAGUAUAGCUGGAAAGAAGAAUAAUAAUCUCGUAAACAAAUGAAUGAAGUUCUAGGUCAGGUGCAGCUCAUCCCUGAUUCUGGAUGCUCCAGUCACCCUCAGGUGAUGCCUGUUUACAUCUGAGACUGACCAACAAUGUCACAUCACUCCUGAGGGUAUAAGGUGGCCUGUCGAGGCAGCAGGAGGACCCCAGGCUUCUGGACCAAGAUGACUUAGCUUUAAAUCCUAGCAAGAAAUCUUACUAGGUCCAUGACUACGGUGGUGUUAAAAUGUGUCCAUGCAUUCUUUAACACUUCCUUCAAAAGUUAAAACUUAGUUCUCCUUCCUUUGGGUGUCUGCUGGAUUUAGUGAUCCACUUCUAGCAAACAGAAUAAAGUGGAAAUGAUGGCAUGUGACUCCCAAGACUAGGUCCAAAGCUUUGACUUUGCUGUCUGUCUUGGAUCACGCACUCUGGGGAAAGAGUUGCCAUGUCAUGAGGAUGCUCAAGCAAGCCCAAGGAGAGGGUCCCGUCGACAGAAAACAAAGCCCUGAGGCCUCUUGCCAGCAGCCGUGUGAGUGAACCAUCCUGGACACAGGUCUUCAGCUCCACCAAGCCUCCAGAUGCCUGUGGCACCAGCCGACAUCCUGACGACAGCCUCAUGGCAGCCCCUGGCCCAGAGCCACCCAGCGGUUCCAUUCUCCAAUUCCUGACCCACAGAAACUAUGAGAUAAUAAGUGUUUGUUGUUGUAAGUUGCCAAGUUGCUAUAAAUUUAAUACACAGCAACAGAUGACUAAACAGUAUCCUGGAGCACAUCACUUCACCUCACCAUGCCUCCAUUUCCUCACCUGUAAAACAGAGUUAAUAAGAACAUAUGUAUACUGCUGUUCAAAAGAUUAAAAGAAUUAGUAAUUAGGAAGCACUUAGCACAGUGCCUGGUGUAUAUUAAACUUUCAAAAAA